AUGAUUUUUUAAGCAAACCAAGCUUUCAAUAAAAAGCGAGGUUUUGCGAAUAUAUUUAAAACCCCCACUCUUUUAAAAUUUUCAUUCAUUAUAUAAAUGAAUAAAAAGA
rnacentral:misc_RNA from 1 species